rnacentral:rRNA from 1 species
CCUACGGGCGGCUGCAGUGAGGAAUAUUGGUCAAUGGGCGCAAGCCUGAACCAGCCAUCCCGCGUGAAGGAAGAAUGCGCUAUGCGUUGUAAACUUCUUUUCCAUGGGACUAAAAUUCUGUACGCUUACGGGAUUGAAGGUACCCUGGGAAUAAGCAUCGGCUAACUCCGUGCCAGCAGCCGCGGUAAUACGGAGGAUGCCAGCGUUAUCCGGAUUAAUUGGGUUUAAAGGGUGCGAAUAAGGCAGAGGAGAAAUCCUUGAGCUUAACUGGAGACUUGCCAUUGAUACUGUUAGUCUUGAGUGUGGUUAAGGUAGGCGGAAUGUGUAAUGUAGCGGUGAAAUGCUUAGAUAUUACACAGAACACCGAUUGCGAAGGCAGCUUACUGAGCCAUAACUGACGCUGAUGCACGAAAGCGUGGGGAGCGAACAGGAUUAGAUACCCCAGUAGUC